rnacentral:ncRNA from 15 species
GAGGUGGUAUAAUGGUAGUACGCAACGUUGUGGCCGUUGAAACGAGGGUUCGAUUCCCUCUCUC